GUACUUACCUGGCAGGGGAGACACCAUGGUCACAAAGGCAGCUUUCCCAGGGUGGGGCGUCACCAUUGUACUCAACAUGUACUGACCCUUGCAAUUUCCCUAAAUUUGGGAGACUUGACGGCAUAAUUUGGGGUGGUGGUGCUGCGUUCCAUACUCUCCCC
ensembl:snRNA U1 U1 spliceosomal RNA